UAAUACUCAAGGUUAAAUUGGAAGGGACAUAUAUAAGCAUGUCAUCUAAAAGGACGUAUCUCUCUGGUGCCCAAAAACGGAAAAAGAAAAGGACAGAAGAUGAGAAAAAAGAGCAAGAUAAAGGAACACUGUUGAAGUAUUUUGGAGCACAACCAACUGUACCUGCCCCCGAUGUGUCAUCAAGUGUCAGUGCCUCCACAGCUGAUGAUACAGCAGGUUCACCCCCAGCAGACUUACAGUCACCUGAAAGUGAGGAAGAACUUUUACCCAUUGAGGAACAGUUACCAGCAUUGACAGUCACUAAUACACCGACUUCAACCUCUGCCGGCAUGACAGGUC